UACGUAGGGUGCGAGCGUUGUCCGGAAUUAUUGGGCGUAAAGAGCUCGUAGGCGGUGUGUCACGUCGGCCGUGAAAACCUGCAGCUUAACUGUGGGCGUGCGGUCGAUACGGGCAUCACUGGAGUUCGGCAGGGGAGACUGGAAUUCCUGGUGUAGCGGUGAAAUGCGCAGAUAUCAGGAGGAGCACCGGUGGCGAAGGCGGGUCUCUGGGCAUCUCCUGACGCUGAGGCGCGAAAGCGUGGGGAGCAAACGGG
rnacentral:rRNA from 1 species